UUUCCGUAGGUGAACCUGCGGAAGGAUCAUUAUCGUACAAAAUGUGUGGGGGAUUCCAGGGCUGUCACUGACCCAAAAGUCGUUCACGCCCGAGUGUGUCCUCUUGCAUAAUAAUCCAUGUCACCCUGUGUGCAUCAGCGCGUGGGCACCCCUCGAGAUUAUCUCGGAGGGGGGCUCGCGGUUUCACACAAACCCCCCUUUUAAAAGUGUAGAAUGACCACAUUUAUGCAAUCAAUACAACUUUCAACAACGGAUCUCUUGGUUCUA
rnacentral:misc_RNA from 1 species